CCACAUUUACUUUGCUAGAGGUACAGCUCAUGAACUAAAGCUAAAGUCAAAAUCAAACAAAAGAAUAAUUUACCGAGUACAUAAAGUGGCACUAGGGCCACAGCUUCACCAGAGGGCCCCUGAGCUUUGCAGAACAUCCCUGAAAGGAAUUGAGUCAUUUAUAAUAAAAUAAAAAGAUUAAAUGAAAUACUUA